ACUGCGCCACGACGGGAACUCCAGUCCUGCCACUUAAGAGCAAAAAUUUCUUGUAACUCUGGAGCUAAUGGUAUACAAAAAAAGGGCAUCUCUUAAAUAGAAUACAGAAUAAUAGGUCCUGAUGGACAGUAGAGGAGCUACCAACGUGUAGGGAUUAGGGACUACUGGAUGUACAUCCUUUGUGGCUUCAUUGACUACCCUGAGAUCCUGUACCAUUCCAUAUUCCUUACUGGGUUUUUUAAUGGGGAGAAUGGAGGUAUUACAGGCUGAUUGUCAUGAAGGACAUAAACCUGGGCCCUGUUAACAUUCCACAGCUCUGGACACAGGCCUGGGCCUUGUUGACAUUCCACAGGGCCGGUGUAAGGCAAUCAGCCCAGUACCUAAGUCUCCAGCCACAGCCCCCUUUUCCUGUUAGAACUAAGUGAGCUGAUAAGGGGGACUGCACAGGCUACAAGGUUACCCACCUAAUUGCCUCUCUAGUGCUGACAUAAGCUGCUUGCUUGAAGUUGGAAGAUAUGAACCUUACUACAAAUCAUUAUUGUAAACUGAAACACUCUCACUAGUUAAGAUGUAAAGUAUUUUAACCACCACUUUGUUUUUGGCACCCCUCCUUAGGCAUGCGCACCCCCUUUCCAACCUGAAUGUAAGUUUGCCUUUAUAAACCCGGUCCAUAUCUUUGUUCGGGGCUUCACACUCAAGCCACUUGUAGGCAGUGUGUGGCCCUGGCCAGUAAUAAAGACUCCUUCCUAAUUUGUUUCUUCUCAGUUGGAGUGGUCUCUGUUCUUUCACGGCACAAUAUUUGGAGGCCCCAGCGAGACACAGACCCUCCAGCUUUUGGAACUCGGACGCCUCCAGAUCAGCGUGGGGAAGGGGGUCCCUUCCUUAGGAGGCGCACGCCCUGAUGAUGUUCCAGGGCCCUGAGGAAAAGAGCACCCGAGCUCCUCUGUGCUGAUCCCAGGAGACGAGCAACUUCACCCCAGAAUUAGAAAACGGAGUCUCCUGGUCUGGAAAUCCUCCGGAGACUGCCAGCAGCUGCUCCAGACUCUUUACUACAGAGGAGCGGGACCAGAUCCUGGCAGAAAGCCGAAAAGCAAUCCAAGGACCAGACGGAGGGGCAGGCCAGGAGCAACAUAUCGAGCGUUGGUUCCCCUCGCACCGCCCUAACUGGGACCCCCCAACUCGAGAGAAGGUGAUGCUCUUGCAGUAUGUGGACGACUUCCUGCUGGCAGCAGAAACCAAAGAGGCCUGCCAAGAAGCUACAGAAGGACUGCUAGAAGUUCUUCAGGGGCUUGGAUAUCGAGUUUCAGCAUGAAAGGCUCAGCUCUGCACCCUCCAAGCCAUCCACCUGGGGUCUGACCUAGAAAGAGAUAAAUGUAACAGAAUCCUGACAACAUAACAUUCCCAAUGUCCAUGAUAUAAUCAGCUCAGAAAAGUCACUGUUACCAGACCACACUGCAAGAAAUGCUGAGAGAAGCUUCAGGAUGAGAGAGCUGGUCUUCACAAGGAAUGGUAGGUAAUGGAAAGAGUAAACACUGUGUAAACUGAAGAUGCCUUUGGUCCACAGGUACUGGUAAAUGACUUUUGUUGAGUUUAGAAUUCUGGGGUGAGAGUUCAUUUCUUCUGGUUGUUUUUAUUGUGGC